rnacentral:rRNA from 1 species
UAGGGAAUCUUCCGCAAUGGACGCAAGUCUGACGGAGCAACGCCGCGUGAGUGAUGAAGGUUUUCGGAUCGUAAAGCUCUGUUGCCCUAGACGAACAGCAAGGAGAGUAACUGCUCUUUGUGUGACGGUAUAGGAGAAGAAAGCCCCGGCUAACUACGUGCCAGCAGCCGCGGUAAUACGUAGGGGGCAAGCGUUGUCCGGAAUUAUUGGGCGUAAAGCGCGCGCAGGCGGUUAAUUAAGUUGGGUGUUUAAG